rnacentral:rRNA from 1 species
GGACACGCUGGCGCGUGCUUAACACAUGCAAGCAACGGGACUGAUUGAAAGCUUGCUUUGAAAAGUCUAGUGGCAAACGGGUGAGUAACGCGUAGGCAACCUGCCUCUAAGAUGGGGACAACAGCCCGAAAGGGCUGCUAAUACCGAAUGUUGUGAGUUUUCCGCAUGGAGAAUUCAUUAAAGAUGGCCUCUACUUGUAAGCUAUCACUUAGAGAUGGGCCUGCGUCUGAUUAGCUAGUUGGUGGGGUAACGGCUCACCAAGGCGACGAUCAGUAGCCGGUCUGAGAGGAUGAACGGCCACAUUGGGACUGAGACACGGCCCAGACUCCUACGGGAGGCAGCAGUGGGGAAUCUUCCGCAAUGGGCGAAAGCCUGACGGAGCAACGCCGCGUGAGUGAAAAGAAGGUCUUCGGAUCGUAAAGCUCUGUCGAAGGGGACGAACGUAGUGCUUAUCAACAACGAGCGCUAAUGACGGUACCUUUCAAGAAAGCCACGGCUAACUACGUGCCAGCCGCCGC